rnacentral:lncRNA from 1 species
UUGCUCAAAUAAUCAAUGAUAUCUAAAUCAACAACAGGUUCUGUUUGAUCAGUUUGUUUGGACAAACAGUAUUUUGGUUGUGUUUCUUCAGCAGCUUGUUCUUAAACUUGUGAACUUUCAUCAUCAUCCCAUACAUCUUGAAGCUCUUCCUCUCUUCUUAACAUGAUCGCAUUUAAUGAGGUGGCCAUUUGAUCCAUCUGCUGUUGCAUCAUUUGCAAAGUCUUUGCCAACUCACUAAUGGCGGGGUCUGAACUUGGAGGUGCUGGUUGGGCUUGGUAUCCUUGANNN